rnacentral:rRNA from 1 species
UUCCGGUUGAUCCUGCCAGAGGUUACUGCUAUCGAGGUUCGACUAAGCCAUGCGAGUCGAAUGUAGCAAUACAUGGCGUACUGCUCAGUAACACGUGGACAACCUACCCUGAGGACGGGGAUAAACCCGGGAAACUGGGUAUAAUACCCGAUAGUUCUAGGUAGCUGGAAUGCCCCUAGACCCAAAGCUCCGGCGCCUCAGGAUGGGUCUGCGGCCUAUCAGGGUAGUAGUAGGUGUAACGUACCUACUAGCCUACGACGGGUACGGGUUGUGAGAGCAAGAGCCCGGAGAUGGAUUCUGAGACACGAAUCCAGGCCCU